GUAGGUGAACCUGCGGAAGGAUCAUUAACACUUUUUCCAAAAACUCCUUUAUCUUUGGCUCAAAAACCAACGAUUCAGGUUUUAACCCCAAUUGAUUGCGAACGAUGAUUUUCCAAAAUCAUUAUUCUCUUCUUUAUCCUCUUUUUUUUAUUUUUACCCCAUUUACAAACAAACAAGCCUGAUAUAAAAUCGUCUUCUCUUUUUUAAAAAGAGAAAACGACCGAAACCUAAUGGUUAAAACAACUCUUAG
rnacentral:misc_RNA from 1 species